UCUUCGGAGAUGAGGGUGGUCGCCGAUCCCGUAUGAGCCCCCAAAUGAAAGACCCCCAGAGCCGGAAGACCCUCACUCAAGUCUUGGGAUGACGUGAACCCCCAAGAACUCAUGUAAGACC
rnacentral:pre_miRNA from 14 species